GCGGGUUGGGUCGGCUAUCCGAGCUGCCUCUCUGGUCCAGCCGAGAGGAAACGGCGGCCAGUGAGAGUGCUUUUAGGAAAGGCCCGGGCCGUGACUUCUGGGAAGAGUCCCUGGGAAAAAGGGGCGCGUUUCGGGCGCUUUGCGAAAACGCUCCGGCUGGAAACACAAGGCUCCGAGAGGAAGGAGCCGCUCUCCGCUCUGACCCACCCCACCCGCUUCACGCUGGGAACCGACGGGGAGAUCGGGACGUGCCCACUUCAUCACACAGACGAAAACCUCAGGCGCCAGAAUGGGGAGGAACUCGCUCGGAACCAGCCAGGAGCCAAAUGGGGCUCCCGACUCUCCGUUCUGGGAACCUCCGUGUUUUUCUGUUUGAAGAUAGGCGGGAUCGAACAGGAAGGUUUGAGGACGAUCUCUGAGGAUUACUAUUGGCAUAGGACUUCAGACGCCCAUUGUUACCAGCUACUUAUUCGUCUCUUUAUUCAUUUCACAUUCAAUACACUUAUGUGUUGAUUCACUA
rnacentral:lncRNA from 1 species